UAGGUUGAAGCCAGUUGCGUAUGGUAUUUAGCUGUUAACUAAAAUUUCGUGGGGUCGGAGCCCACCAAUCUAG
rnacentral:tRNA from 1 species